CUUUGAUGUCUGGGGAGCAUAGCGCAGACUUGCAGGCUCUCGGAGGUUUGUGAGUCACUUCGGAAGAGAGGGAAAGGCUGCUGGUGGUGUGAUGACUUGGCUAACAGAGCUCCUGAGUCAAUCCACACUGAGAUGACCACAUUCUGGCCUUCAGUCAGAUUUAAGCCCAGCAGUAAGUUGAAAGAGGUUCUCAGAGAAAGAGUAAGACACACGGAAGAGCUGAGUAUGACUUAAGCCUCGCAGGACUUGGGGUUCCAGGUUGUCAGUCUUGGCAGCAACUGCCUUUAUUCAGUGAACCAUCUCAUCUGAGCAUUCUCUAACGCUUGACUAUUGAUGGAAUGUGAUCAGUUGCCUCAAGUGCCUGUGGCUGUGACUUCCCCACUAGGAUGGGCUGCAACUUCAAACGCUCAGGCACAGCCCUGGAAGAGAGAGCUCAGUGAGACACCGCUCAGUCGCUGUUUCUCCUGAUUGAAACACCACCUCCUGGCUGAGAAGAAGAGUAUAAAACUGGGGGAGUGAACGAAACUCACAAGGCUCAAGGAGUACACAGAACUGCAAGGCUCCGGAAGCUUUCCCAGCUCAGCAUAUUCACAAGACCCUUCCCCCACCCCGAGGGUGGAGGGUGAGGUGGGGGGGGGGGGAGGGUAGAAAGGCAGUCGUCACUGGUGUGAGAAGAGACUCUCCAGCCCGCAGAGUUGGGACGCAGCUUUUAGGAGUUGUGGCUUAUGCUGGGGUCAGCUUUUUCAUGACCCAUAGUGGCUGGCUAUGCUAGCCCAGUUCUUGAAAGUAAUCUCUUACCCUCCCCGUAAGACUCACUGGUUUACCAAGACAGAGUUGGUGGAAUUCAGGUAGGAAAGUUGUAGAGAUAGUUAAGUAACCCAGGAUGCCACUUGGCUAGAGUAAUAUACACACUGUUUUCCGUACAAUACAUGUAUCAACCUGGGACUUCCACCACAUACAAACAUACACCUGGCUUCCAAUAAGCAGUAGGUCAUUCCUUUCUAACAGCUGUUUGGUAACUUUUCUUUUGUGGCCAAAAACAUCUCAAAACUUUACCUGAAACUAAGUGAAAUGGGUCAAUCUGGCUGAUGAGGUUUUGGGAGCAUAUGAAGUAAGUCAAACAUGUCCUUUGAAUAAGUGUUUAGAGGGAAAUCCCUGUAAUUUGGCAAUGUUAAUUAUUAAUUAAAAAUAAUAGUAAUAUUAUACUAAUGCAUGACUAAAAGCAGAUGCAUCAUGGGUAAAGACAUGUGCAGCGAACAAAGGCUUACAUAUCCAAGCCAAACAGUCAAAAGGCCGCCUACAUCCUGGGCCUUAGCAAUCAGCUCCUCCUAGACCACAAAGGAAAGUUCCAGGAGGUGACCAUGGGUUCUUGAGCACUCUAGGUCGCCUUCUGUGCUCUUGCUGUGUAUCUGACCUGUUUUCUCUUUGCUUCUGAAUAAAAACCUCUUGCUA
rnacentral:lncRNA from 1 species